UACGAGAGGCCCGAGCGUUAUUCGGAAUCACUGGGCUUAAAGGGUGCGUAGGCGGCCACGUAGGCGUCCUGUGAAAUCCCACGGCUCAACCGUGGAAUUGCGGGGCGAACCACAUGGCUUGAACCUGGUAGGGGCUGUCGGAACGAUCGGUGGAGCGGUGAAAUGCGUAGAUAUCGAUCGGAACGCCGAAGGUGAAGACGGGCAGCUGGGCCAGAGUUGACGCUGAGGCACGAAAGCGUGGGGAUCAAACAGG
rnacentral:rRNA from 1 species